UGCGGCUGGAUCCCCUCCUUUCUAGGGAGAUGCGGCGGCACCAACCGUCGCGGACGCGUCGCCCGCCCGGCAUGCGCCAUCGCCGGGAGGACCGGCGGCCAUGGGAGACCACGGCCGUCCGGAAGGGGCUCGACGCGACCCUGGUCGAUACGUCGACACCUUGGCUCUCGCGCACACCGUCUGUCGGAGACCCAAACCAACCUUCUGGGGCUCGUGCCGGCAGGUCGCGGUGGGCGUGGUCGCGCUGUUCAGUCUUCAGGGAUCGCCGAGGGCGACCCUGGGUCUCGAGUCGCCGCCUUCGGGCGGCGGGCGUACCUUGAAAACUGCACAGUGACACGUCGGUGUGUUCUAUCGAGUCAAGUAAGUACGGGCACACGGUGGAUGCCUUGGCACCAGGAGCCGACGAAGGACGUGGAUGGCUGCGAUAAGCCGCGGUGAGGCGCUGAACGGCCUUUGACCCGCGGAUCU
rnacentral:misc_RNA from 1 species